AUUGAACGCUGGCGGCAGGCCUAACACAUGCAAGUCGAACGAGUGGCGGACGGGUGAGUAAUGUCUGGGAAACUGCCCGAUGGAGGGGGAUAACUACUGGAAACGGUAGCUAAUACCGCAUACCAUCGGAUGUGCCCAGAUGGGAGUAGCUUGUAGGUGAGGUAACGCCUCACCUAGGCGACGAUCCCUAGCUGGUCUGAGAGUGUGACACGCAAAACUGGAAAGGAGACACUGUCCAGACUCCUACGGGGGGGAGCAGUGGGGAAUAUUGCACAAUGGGCGCAAGCCGGAUGGAGCCAUGCCGCGUGUAUGAAGAAGGCCGUCGGGGUGUAAAGUACUUUCAGCGGGGAGGCGUUACCCGCAGAAGAAGCACCGGCUAACUCCGUGCCAGCAGCCGCGGUAAUAC
rnacentral:rRNA from 1 species